GCAGACAGAUCCUUCAGCCUCAGGAAAGCUUCUUGAUGACGCGGUCCUGGCUGACAACCGGACUGCAACCUCAUGAGAUACCCUGAGCCAGAACCACCAGCUAAGCCACUUCUCAAGUCCUGACUCACAGUGCUGCAAGAUAAUAAACGUUUUGGAGUCAUUCGUAACACAGCAAGUGAUAAUGAAGAUACGUGGGUUGAGUGGGGCUUUGCCUAAUAUGCCCUAGUGCCUCCUGAAAGUGAAUGAGGCCAGCUGGGAUGACUAGGCACUGCUCAGAGAGCUGGGGGUUUCUGGCUGUUCCUUUGUUUGCCCGUGGUGGCCAGCAUGUUUGCAGUUGGGAGGAUUCUUCACCAGUCUAACACAUGCCUCAGUUUUCUAGGUGAGAAACCCAGACAAGGCUGGCACUGCACAGAGAUGGAACCUGAUGAAACGGCCCCAUUUGAGCGCCUGCUGUAUCGCGUUGGCUCUGCUUCCUGCAGCUGUGCUCCAAGAUGAGCCUUUCAGACAUCGCUCCCUAAUAGCUCCAUCUCCCCCAGUCCAGGAGGAUGCGCAUUCCUCUCCUCAUUCACAUGCACCACUUCAAGCCAUCUGCACGCUCUACAGGGGACUUGCCGCCUAACAUCCUAAUGUGCAACCCCAUCCAAAUCCUCUGCUGGAAUCUCACUAUUUGCACCACUUACGCUCCUGGAGCGUGAAACAGAAGGGCCAGUCCUCUUGUCUCUUUAUUCUAAGUGUUUAAUACAGAUUCCAUGGACUUGGUCCAUAACAAUAUGAGUGUGGUCUUACAUCAGUCCUUUUACUAAUUUCUCAUCAUCUCCCUCAUCCUUGUCCUUUAGUGAUUGUUCCAGACCUUCUCUUCUUAUCCUCAUACUCUCCUCUUUGGUAUAGUAGUGAGUAAAAGAAAGAAAGAAAAAAAAGGUCCUAGUGUGACUCAUAUCUUCAUGGUUUAUUUACUACCUGGAGGAUUUUUGAGGCUAUGAACAUUGUUUUAUUUUUUGCUGUAUCCCCAGCACCUAGCACAGAUAUGUGUGUGUAUCAGGGCCUGUAUGUAUAAGCUCUCCGAUGCUGCUAUAACAUGUAGUUCCCCAGUCAAAACUAAGUAUUAUUAAAGCAGCAUUUUGGACAGGG
rnacentral:lncRNA from 1 species